GUGAGGAAUAUUGCGCAAUGCCCGAAAGGGUGACGCAGCGACGCCGCGUGGAGGAUGAAGGCCCUCUGGGUUGUAAACUCCUGUUGGAGGGGAUGAAUUUCCCGAUUCUGUCGGGAUUGACCGUACCCUCCGAGGAAGCCACGGCUAACUACGUGCCAGCAGCCGCGGUAAUACGUAGGUGGCGAGCGUUGUCCGGAAUCACUGGGUGUAAAGGGCGCGUAGGCGGAUUGGUAAGUCGGAGGUGAAAUCUUACAGCUCAACUGUAAAACUGCUUUCGAUACUGCUGAUCUUGAGUACGGAAGAGGGUGAUGGAAUUCCUGGUGUAGCGGUGAAAUGCGUAGAUAUCAGGAAGAACACCGGUCGCGAAGGCGGUCACCUGGUCCGUAACUGACGCUCAGUGCGCGAAAGCGUGGGUAGCAAACAGGAUUAGAUACCCCUGUAGUCC
rnacentral:rRNA from 1 species